AUAUUUCUGCGUUAUCUGUAGUCACCUAUCUAUCUUCCUCCUUAUUAAGUCACCAUCUCUUACGUCAGUUCCAUAGAAAAUAACUUACGGGAAAAUUUAGCCAGCGACAAUCCUAUUGUUUGUAAAUUCGCGAAAUUAUAUUUUUGAGCACUAAUUCCGUAAAUUCCGUCCACCGUGGGUGUCUCAUUCCGUCCGAGAAAAACACAAAACACGUACAAAGCGAUGAGAUAAUAAGUGUUUUUGAGCGUUAAUCGCUCGAAGUGCAACUGAGUUUUUGAAAGAAGUAAACAUGACCCGACCCGGCCCUCCGAGUGAAAACCUCCCUACUAGUUGAUUUGCAAAUCACCAUGGUGUCAAUAUUCAAAGAUUGCGACAGUGUAUGUUGCCAGUCUAUGUUUUGUGCUUUUUAUAAAAAAAAAUUUAAUUUGUUGUCUGCUAAAACCUUCCAUAGCAUGAGCAUAGCUACUUUAUCUAAAAUAUAUUUGCAGGAUAAUAUAAAUGAUCUUUUAAUUUAUAAGUCCAUCCGUUGACUUUGGAUACUUUAAUAUAAUAUGUAACAUGUGUAUGUUAAUAUAUGAUGUAACAGGA